rnacentral:rRNA from 1 species
CGGCGGACGGGUGAGUAACGCGUGGGUAACCUGCCUCAUGCAGGGGGAUAACAGUUGGAAACGGCUGCUAAUACCGCAUAAGCGCACAGUACCGCAUGGUACCGUGUGAAAAACUCCGGUGGUAUGAGAUGGACCCGCGUCUGAUUAGCUAGUUGGUGGGGUAACGGCCUACCAAGGCGACGAUCAGUUGCCGACCUGAGAGGGUGACCGGCCACAUUGGGACUGAGACACGGCCCAA